AAUAAAGAUAAUAAGUAUAAAUAAAGGCAAGUAGCAAAGGGAGAGAGUGUAAUCAUUAAAUCUGUCACCUAAAAUGUACCUUUCUCCUAUUGUUUAAUCUUCUCUUCCUCUCUCCCAAUCUGUUCCUAUUUUCUUCAUAUCUGAUCUUACUCAUUAAAACAAAGUAGGGACCACUUUAUCCUAUUUAUUUUUACUACGCCUUAUAGACAAAUCACCAAAUAUUAAUCACAAGGAAAGAAAUGGAACCUGAAUUGCUUGUUGGAUGAAAAUUUGUCUGUGGAAUUUG